GGGGGUGUAGCUCAAUAGCCAGAGCGCUCCGUUGUCUGCGGAGAUGUUGCGGGUUGAAGUCCCGUCACCCUCG
rnacentral:tRNA from 1 species